rnacentral:misc_RNA from 1 species
AACAUCGCGCACCUGCGGGAACCUGCGGAGGGAUCAUUACUGAGUGCGGGUUCCAAUGAGCCCAACCUCCCACCCGUGUUUACCGUAACCGCGUUGCCUCGGCGGGCCCACUGGGGCCUGUCCCCGGUCGCCGGGGGGCAUCUGCCCCCGGGCCCGCGCCCGCCGAAGCGCCCUAGAACCCUGCCUGAACAGUGAGUCUGAGUGAGUGAUUGAAUCAUUAAAACUUUUAACAACGGAUCU